rnacentral:tRNA from 1 species
UGGCUUAGUGGUAAAGCGCUUGGCUUCUGAACUGGGGGUCCCGGGUUCGAAUCCUGG